rnacentral:lncRNA from 1 species
UGAUAGAUUUUUUGCUAUUGUAGAGACAACACAAAAUAAAAUAUUAAACAACUUAAUAAGGGUUAAUGAUUUAUCAUUUUGUGUUUUUGUUUGUGACAUUGGUGUUAAUGGUACUAACCUUAGAAGCUAGAAAAAUCUCUUCCGUGGGUGAAUUCUGUGGGCAUCUGGGGUUUGGGAUAGAGUUAACCAAAAAUUAUUAGGCAUGCUCUUGUGUCUAAAUAUCAGUCACUUCCCCGAGCACUCUUUCCUUCCGUUGUCAUUGUGGUGGUUUGAAUGAGAGUGACCCCAGAGGGUCAUAUGUUUGAAUAAUUGGCUCCCAGUUAGUGAACUGUUUGGAAAAAAUGAGAUGUGGCCUUGUUGGAGAAGACAGAUCGCUGGAGUUGGUCUUUGAGGUUUCAAAAGAUGCAUGCUGUUCCCAGUGUGCUCUGUCUCCUGCCUGUGGUCUGAGAUGUGAGCUCCCAGCUGUUCCUACCACCAUCAAGGUACUCUUGCUGUUGCUCCAUCAUCGCAGACUCUAACCCUCUGGAAUCAUACGUUCAAUCAGGGCCUGUGUGGCUGUGCCACCAGCAAUCUUUCAACACUGAAAAGGACAAAGAAAAUCCAUUACUCUGUUACAAGAAGAAAGAAUUUCUAUGGCAAAAAGGAUGAUGAGAAGAAUGGCUAAUGGGUUUACAGGAACUCUUAACACAAAGCUGGGUGUUCAGAUACCAAGAGUUUGUAAAAAAAAAAAGAAAAAAAUACGCAAUCCAAGGCAAGCAGUCAAGGACCACAAGACAAUGUGUGUAUGAGACUUCCGGACCUCUCCAUGACCUUUGCUGCAUGCAUGAGGAGAAACGGCCUGCUAGAACAGAUCUGCAAAGGAUUGCUCUGCCUGAGGCUGCCUGAGCUUACAACUGCAGUCUGAAGGGAUAAGGAACUUGAAAGGUGGGUAUCCCACUUGGACUCUCCAACCUCCCGUCGGACAUUUCAGCUGAAUGGUAACCAUAAUGGGUAUAAGAAAGAACAAAGCCAUUUCCCAAAUCUGCCUCCCCCGCCUCUCUCUCGCCCAGUACGCCAUGCUUCCUGUUUCCCUAGUAAUGAAAAUGUGUUCAUCUGUCAAGGGGAAAGCUGCCCCACUGUCUUAGGUGCAGAGAACUCCAAUCACAGCAGCUGCUGGGACCAGACCGAGAGCCAAGCUCCUCAUUUGUUUUGGCUAACACUGAAGAAUCCGUUUAGGCAUCCCCUAGAACAAAAUGGUGCAUGGGAACAGAGCCAAGCCAUGGAAGAGAAGCGGCAAAGUUGCAACAGAUUAUUUGUCUGCUAAAACAGAAGGAGAAAGAGAGCUAAACCUGGAUCCGUUUGAGUCCAGCCUCUCUAACAUAUUCUCCACUUGCAACACAGAUGAUUUCCUCUAAUAUCGCUCAACAGGUGCUAAACUGUAGCUUUGCUGAAGAUUAAUCAUGCAGCCUUGGAAACCACACUAAAAAAUACCAAGACGGCUCCCAGGAUUUAUAGGCUCUUUCUCCAGAGUACUCAGCACAGAGUAUAUAUAAACAGCAUGCAUAGUAUUACACAUAUGUAUAUUAAAUGUAUAGUGAGUCCUUGCCAAUGCAAUCCUGCGGAAAAUCUCAUUGCCUUCUGUAUCCACUAGGCACUCUGUGCAUGUAUGAAGUACAUUGCAUACCAAUAGGAAAUUAUGCUUGCAUGUGCAUCUCCUCUUAGGUUAUGUGUUUUUUAUGCCGUGUCUUUCACUGAACUCUCAUUUUAUGAAGUAGACACUCCAGACAUAUGUAUGUUAGAGCCUGUGCUUGCUGCCUCCAACUUCUCCAAUACGUAUCAAGUCAAUCUCACAAUGUCUCUAGGGAGGACACAGUGAACAUGGUCAUUCUGUUGAAAAAUUUCCAGCACUGUUUAUAUUAAAAGCUUCACCGAGUCCCCUGUUUUGCUAUAUUACAAAUAAAACCCAAGACUGUGUAGUUUUACAUGAUUCAGACUGUUCACGA